GAAAUGCGAUAAGUAAUGUGAAUUGCAGAAUUCAGUAAAUCAUCGAAUCUUUGAACGCAGCUUGCGCUCCUUGGUAUUCCUUGGAGCAUGCCUGUUUGAGUAUCAUGAAAUCUUCAAAGUAAAUCUUUUGUUAACUCAAUUGGUUUCUACUUUGGUAUUGGAGGUCUUUGCAGCUUCACACCUGCUCCUCUUUGUUCAUUAGCUGGAUCUCAGUGUUAUGCUUGGUUCCACUCGGCGUGAUAAGUUAUCUAUCGCUGAGGACACUGUAAAAGGUGGCCAAGGUAAAUGCAGAUGAACCGCUUCUAAUAGUCCAUUGACUUGGACAAUACUUUUAUGAUCUGAUCUCAAAUCAGGUAGGACUACCCGCUGAACUUAAGC
rnacentral:misc_RNA from 1 species